rnacentral:misc_RNA from 1 species
GCUGACACGCUGUCCUCUGGCGACCUGUCGCUGGAGAGGUUGGGCCUCUGGAUGCGUGCGGGGCUCUGGCCUACCGGUGACCCGGCUAGCCGGCCGUGCUCCUGCUUGAGCCGCCUGCUGGGGCCCGCGGGCCUGUGGUUCUCUCGCGCGUCCGAGCGUCCCGACUCCCGGUGCCGGCCCGGGUCCGGGUCUCUGACCCACCCGGGGGGCGGCGGGGAAGGCGGCGGGGGCCACCCUGCCCCCGUGCGCUCUCCGCUGCGGGCGCCCGGGGCGGCUGCGACAACCCCACCCCGCUGGCUCCGUGCCGUGCGUGUCAGGCGUUCUCGUCUCCGCUGGGUUGUCCGCCGCCCCUUCCCCGGGGUGGGGAGUUGGCCGGGGCCGAUCGGCUGGUCUGGCUGGCCGGCCGGCCGGGUGGCCGACCUCCGCUCCCGGGGGGCUCUUCACGAUCGAUGUGGUGACAUCAUGCUCUCCCGGGCCGGGUCCGAGCCGCGCCGGGCGAGGGGCGGACGUUCGUGGCGAACGGGUCCGUUCUUCUCGCUCCGCCCCGCGGGGGCCCCUCGUCUCUCCUCUCCCCGCCUGCGGGUGGUGCGUGUGGGAAGGCGUGGGGUGCGGAACCCGGCCUGACCUCGGCGUCCCGCCCGCCGCCUUCUGCGUCGCGGGACGGGUCGGCGGGGUCCUCUGACGCGGCAGACACCCCUCGCUGUCGCCUCCCGUGGUUGUCGACUUGCGGGCGGGCCCCCUCCGCGGCGGUGGGGGUGCCGUCCCGCCGGCCCGUCGGCUGCCCUCUCCGGGGGUUUGCUCGAGCGUCGGCUCCGCCUGGGCCCUUGCGGUGCUCCUGGAGCGCUCCGGGUUGUCCCUCAGGUGCCCGAGGCCGAGCGGUGGUGUGUCGUUCCCGCCCCCAGUGCCCCCCUCCUCCGGUCGCCACCGCGGUGUCCGCGCGUGGGUCCUGAGGGAGCUCGUAGGUGUGGGGUUCGAGGCGGUUGAGUGAGACGAGACGCGCCCCUCCCACGCGGGGAAGGGCGCCCGCCUGGUCCGGCGAGUGCACGUCCCGUGCUCCCCCUUGGCGGGUGCGCGCGGGCCGUGUGAGCGAUCGCGGUGGGUUCGGGCCGGUGACGCGUGCGCCGGCUGGCCGCCGAGGGGCUGCCGUUCCGCCUCCGACCGGUCGUGUGUGGGUUGACUUCGGAGGUGCUUUGCCUCGGAAGGAAGGAGGUGGGGGGACGGGGGGGCCUCGUGGGGUUGCGCGCACGCGCGCACCGGCCGAGCCCCCGCCCUGACCGCGAACGCUCAAGGUGGCCGCACGCAGGUGUUUCCUCGUACCGCAGGCCCUCUCCCUUCCCCAGGCGUCCCUCGGCGCCUCUGCGGGCCCGAGGAGGGGUGGCUGGCGGUUGGGGAGUGUGACCCACCCUCGGUGAGAAAGCCUUCUCUAGCGAUCCGAGAGGUGUGCCUUGGGGUACCGGAUCCCCCGGACUGCCGCCUCUGUCUCUGCCUCUGUUAUGGUAGCGCUGCCGUAGCGACUCGCUCGCAGAGGACCCUCCUCCGCUUCCCCCUCGACGGGGUUGAGGGGGGAGAGCGAGGGUUCCGCCGGCCACCGCGGUGGUGGCCGAGCGCGGCUCGUCGCCUACUGUGGCCCGCGCCUCCCCCUUCCGAGUCGGGGGAGGAUCCCGCCGGGCCGGGCCCGGCGUCCUGGCGGGUUGGGACGUGGCGGCCGGCGAGCGGUGGUGGGUGUGUGCUGCGCGGUGUACCGCCCGGCGCGUGAGUCCCUCCGCCGUGAGUCGGCUCUCCGCCCGCUCCCCUGCCGAGUCGUGACCGGUGUCGGCGACCGCGUUUUGCGUGGCGUGGGGUCGGGCCGCCUGGGCCCUGGGAAAGCGUCCCGCGGUGGGGGCGCGCCGGUCUCCCGGAGCGGGGCCGGGCCGGAGGAUGGACGAGAAUCACGAGCGACGGUGGUGCUGGCGUUGGGUUCGUGGCUGCGGUCGCUUCGGGGUCCCCGGUGGCGGGACCCCGGGGCUCGCGAGGCGGAUCUCGGUGGGGGGGCCGAGGGCCGUCCGGCGUCCCAGGCGGGGCGCCGCGGGACCGCCCUCGUGUCUGUGGCGGUGGGAUCCCGCGGCCGUGUUUUCCUGGUGGCCCGGCCGUACCCGAGGUUUCUCCCCCGAGCCGCCGCCUCUGUGGGCUCCUGGGUGCCCUUGCCCGUCUGUGCCCUCUUCCCUGCCCGCCGCCUGCCGAUUCCCCUCUUCUCCCCGAGCGGCUCACCGGCUUCCCGUCGGUUGGCGGCCCCGCCUGGGACCGAACCAGGCACCGCCUCGUGGGGCGCCGCCACCGGCCACUGGUUGGCCCGGUGUCCGUGUCCCCCGGCGCGCGCCUUCGGGACCGGGUCGGUGGCGCCCCGCGUUGGGGCCCGGUGGGCUUCCCGGAGGGUUUCGGGGGUCGGCCUGCAGCGCGUGCGGGGCGAGAGAGGGUUCCGGGGAACCGGCCGCGACUGCGGCGGCGGUGGGGGGGAGCCGCGGGGGUCGCCGAGGGCCGGUUGGCCGCUCCGGGUGCCGCGCGGGGCCGCCUUCGCGCUCGGAGGGUGCCGGCGGUGAGACCCCCGCGUGUGUCCCGGCCGCGGUCGGCUGCGCUCGAGGGGUCACGUGGCGUCCCCCUUCCCCGCCGGCCGCCUUUCUCGCGCCUUCCCCGUCGCCUCGGCCUCCUCGCCCGUGGUCUCUCGUCUUCUCCCGGCCCGCUCUUCCGAACCGGGUCGGCGCGUCCCCCGGGUGCGCCUCGCUUCCCGGGCCUGCCGCGGCCCUUCCCUGAGGCGUCCGUCCCGGGCGUCGGCGUCGGGGAGAGCCCGUCCUCCCCGCGUGGCGUUGCCCCGUUCGGCGCGCGCGUGCGCCCGAGCGCGGCCCGGUGGUCCCUCCCGGACAGGCGUUCGUGCGAUGUGUGGCGCAGGUCGACCCUCCGCCUUGCCGGUCGCUCGCCCUCUCCCCGGGUCGGGGGGUGGGGCCCGGGCCGGGGCCUCGGCCCCGGUCGCGGUCCCUCGUCCCGGGCGGGGGCGGGCGCGCCGGCCGGCUUCGGUCGCCCUCCCUCGGCCGUCGUGUGGCGUGUGCCACCCCUGCGCCCGCGCCCGCCGGCGGGGCUCGGAGCCGGGCUUCGGCCGGGCCCCGGGCCCUCGACCGGACCGGUGCGCGGGCGCUGCGGCCGCACGGCGCGACUGUCCCCGGGCCGGGCACCGCGGUCCGCCUCUCGCUCGCCGCCCGAACGUCGGGGCCGCCCCGCGGGGCGGGCGGAGCGCCGUCCCCGCCCCGCCGCCGCCCACGGGCGCCAGCCGCGCGCGCGCGUGUGGCCGCCGGUCCCUCCCGGCCGCCUCCUCGCGGGCGGGCGCGACGAAGGGUCGCGGGUCCGUGGCGUGAGCCCGGCGUGGGGCGGUGGCUGUGCCGCGCGGGGCGGGUGGUUGGGGUGUCCGGUUCGCCGCGCCCCGCCCCCGCCGCCACCGUCCCGGCCGCCGCCCCGCGCCCGCCCGCCGGCUGGCUCGCUCCCUCCCGUCCGUCCGUCCGUCGUCCUCCUCGCUUCCGGGGCGCCGGGCCCGUCCUCGCGAGGCCCCCGGCCGGCCGCGUCGGGGCCUCGCCGCGCUCUACC